rnacentral:snoRNA from 1 species
AAACCAUGCAUCGGGCAUUUUCUAAUCAAUUCCUUGAAUCACUCCCAAGCUUCAUAGAAUGUCUCAUCUUCAGAUUGCCAAACAAAUGUAUUAUCGUUCCUUAAUUU